rnacentral:rRNA from 1 species
UACGAAGGGGGCUAGCGUUGCUCGGAAUUACUGGGCGUAAAGCGCACGUAGGCGGCUUUUUAAGUCGGAGGUGAAAUCCUGGAGCUCAACUCCAGAACUGCCUUUGAUACUGAAGAUCUUGAGUUCGGGAGAGGUGAGUGGAACUGCGAGUGUAGAGGUGAAAUUCGUAGAUAUUCGCAAGAACACCAGUGGCGAAGGCGGCUCACUGGCCCGAUACUGACGCUGAGGCACGAAAGCGUGGGGAGCAAACAGG